AGAGUUUGAUCCUGGCUCAGGAUGAACGCUAGCGGGAGGCCUAACACAUGCAAGUCGAACGGGAUUGAGAGCUUGCUCUCAUGAGAGUGGCGCACGGGUGAGUAACGCGUAUGCAACCUACCUAUAACUGAGGGAUAGCCCAUAGAAAUGUGGAUUAAUACCUCAUAGUUCUUUUGGUCCGCAUGGAUUAAAAGAUAAAGCUCCGGCGGUUAUAGAUGGGCAUGCGUGACAUUAGCUAGUUGGUAAGGUAACGGCUUACCAAGGCUACGAUGUCUAGGGGUUCUGAGAGGAUGAUCCCCCACACUGGUACUGAGACACGGACCAGACUCCUACGGGAGGCAGCAGUGAGGAAUAUUGGUCAAUGGGCGCAAGCCUGAACCAGCCAUCCCGCGUGCAGGAUGAAGGCCCUAUGGGUCGUAAACUGCUUUUAUACACCAAGAAAAACACCCACGUGUGGGUGCCCGACGGUAGUGUAUGAAUAAGCAUCGGCUAACUCCGUGCCAGCAGCCGCGGUAAUACGGAGGGUGCAAGCGUUGUUCGGAAUCACUGGGCGUAAAGGGCGCGUAGGCGGUUUGAUAAGUCAGAUGUGAAAGCCCACGGCUUAACCGUGGAAGUGCAUUUGAUACUGUUAGACUUGAGUACCAGAGGGGAAAGUGGAAUUCCCGGUGUAGAGGUGAAAUUCGUAGAUAUCGGGAGGAAUACCGGUGGCGAAGGCGACUUUCUGGCUGGAUACUGACGCUGAGGCGCGAAAGCGUGGGGAGCAAACAGGAUUAGAUACCCUGGUAGUCC
rnacentral:rRNA from 1 species